ensembl:lncRNA
UGUGCCCUGUAGCAUCUUUAGCAGUGGUGGUCCAGUUCUCCUAGUAACAUUGUUAAUGUGCUGUGAACGAUUGAAAUUUUGAGUAUGUAGUAUGACAUUAAAUUGUGACUGGUGGAACUUCCUAUAUUGUACUGGAUAUCCUGUUAAGGAAAAUUUGCCUCCAAAUGUAAGCUGAAAAGUUCUAGGAAAACUGUUCAGAAAAGAAUCAAAACUACAUUAUUUUUUUAGAUUUUUGGUACAAAUGUUAAGAAUUAUAUACAAAUUGAAAUUUCUGUGUACUGAUACUCAAAACAACCAAUAAAAUCUCAGUUAUAAAAAAAGAAAACGUUGGAAAGUACAAAUUCCCUGACCUAAUGAACCCACUUCUAAUUAUGCCAAAGAAAUAAAAAAAAAAAUAGAACAAGUGUUCAGACAUAGUUGUACAAGGAUGUUGGAAGAGUCAGGAUCUGAUAGAGAAUGAGUUCAAAUUCUGUUUACCCAUUGUCUCAGUCCUUGAGUUGUUUACUUAACCUCUCCCAACCUCUAUUUCGUCUUUCGUAAAAUGAGAAUGUCAAGAAUAGAAAGAGCCUGAAGUGUAACUUAUUGCAAUAUUAUGUUUGUCUCAGUUAAUCUCAGAUUGAAAAACAGCCUGAAAAAUCCACACAACUGUUGGUGGGGUGGAAGUGGGGGUGGUAAAUGGUAGAAAGGAUGAAUCUCUCCACUACUGCCCCUCUUUUUCCCAUUUCAUCGGCUAAGUAUUUCUGGAGAGGACUCUUGAGAGUCUCUUGGACAGUAUGGAGAUCAAACCAGUCAAUUCAAAAGAAAAUCAACCCUGAAUAUUCAUUGGAAGGACUGAUGCUAAAGCUGAAGCUCCAAUACUUUGGCCACCUGAUUCGAAGAGCUGAGUCAUUGGAAAAGUCCCUGAUGCUGGAAAAGAUUGAAGGCAGGAGGAGAAGGGGGUGGUAGAGGAUGAGAUGGUUGGAUGGCAUCAUCAACUCAGUGGACAUGAGUUUCAGCAAACUCCAGGAGAUGGUGAAGGACAGGAAGCCUGGUGUGCUGCUGUCCAUGGAGUCACAAGGAGUCAGACACGAAUGAGCAGUGCCAACCUGAGGCCUUGUCUGGUAGGGACCGUGAACAAGACUCCAAAGACCCUAAAACUCCAAUUUGUAUGACUAGAGCCCAUCCUUCCAAUCCCUGAUACUGAACAGAGAAGAACAUCUGCGUUCAUUUGGGUAGACUUCUAGGCACUUCAGAAAAUGGGGAGGAACCAAGAGGGAAAAAAACUCCCCUUGAAAAAAGUUCAAAGGACUCAUUUGAAAAGACCUGACACUGGGAAAGAUUGAAGGCAGGAGGAGAAGGGGACGACAGAGGAUCAGAUGGUUGGAUGGCAUCACCAACUCAAUGGACAUGAGUUUGAGUAAACUCUGGAAGUUGGUGCUGGACAGGGAGGCCUGGCGUGCUGUGGUCCAUGGGGUCGCAAAGAGUCGGAUAUGACUGAGCGACUGAACUGAACUAAAAAAAGGAAUGCUGUUUCCAGGAGGGAGGAAGUGGUUUUUCAGGCUGAGACAUGGAGAAGGGAUUAGAUAAAGGCAGAGAGCAAAUCAAAGGUGGCAAAGUCAGGUAUGGCGGAGGACACAUGCAGAGAAGAGAAGCAUCUACAUUAGUUAUACUGCGGCUGCUGCUGCUAAGUCGUGUCAGUUGUGUCCAACUCUGUGUGACCCCACCAGGCUCCGCCGUCCCUGGGAUUCUCCAGGCAAGAACACUGGAGUGGGUUGCCAUGUCCUUCUCCAAUGCAUGAACAUGAAAAGUGAAAGUGAAGUCGCUCAGUUGUGUCCGACUCUUUGCGACCCCAUGGACUGCAGCCCACCAGGCUCCUCCGUCCAUGGGAUUUUCCAGGCAAGAGUACUGGAGUGGUGGAGCUGUCCAAAAGAAAUAAAAUGUAAAUUUUAAAAUUGUCUUUAAUUGAUAAAUAUUCUAAUAACUUUUAAAAUUUUCUGGCCGCUCUGGGUCUCCGUUGCUGUGCAUGUGGGCUUUUUCUCUAGUUGCAGUGAGUGGGAGCUACUCUCUAGUUGCAACGAGCAGUCUUCUCAUUGU